rnacentral:tRNA from 1 species
CGAGAGGUUCAGAAGACCUGCUAAUUCUUCAAUCUGGAAAA